GAUGAACGCUGGCGGCGUGCCUAAUACAUGCAAGUCGAGCGAACGGACGAGAAGCUUGCUUCUCUGAUGUUAGCGGCGGACGGGUGAGUAACACGUGGAUAACCUACCUAUAAGACUGGGAUAACUUCGGGAAACCGGAGCUAAUACCGGAUAAUAUUUUGAACCGCAUGGUUCAAAAGUGAAAGACGGUCUUGCUGUCACUUAUAGAUGGAUCCGCGCUGCAUUAGCUAGUUGGUAAGGUAACGGCUUACCAAGGCAACGAUGCAUAGCCGACCUGAGAGGAUGAUCGGUCACACGGGAACGGAGACACGGUCCAGACUCCUACGGGAGGCAGCAGUAGGGAAUCUUCCGCAAUGGGCGAAAGCCUGACGGAGCAACGGCGCGUGAGUGAUGAAGGUCUUCGGAUCGUAAAACUCUGUUAUUAGGGAAGAACAUAUGUGUAAGUAACUGUGCACAUCUUGACGGUACCUAAUCAGAAAGCCACGGCUAACUACGUG
rnacentral:rRNA from 1 species